rnacentral:rRNA from 1 species
AGUCGUAACAAGGUCUCCGUAGGUGAGCCUGCGGAGGGAUCAUUACACAAAUAUGAAGGCGGGCUGGAACCUCUCGGGGUUACAGCCUUGCUGAAUUAUUCACCCUUGUCUUUUGCGUACUUCUUGUUUCCUUGGUGGGUUCGCCCACCACUAGGACAAACAUAAACCUUUUGUAAUUGCAAUCAGCGUCAGUAACAAAUUAAUAAUUACAACUUUCAACAACGGAUCUCUUGGUUCUGGCAUCGAUGAAGAACGCAGCGAAAUGCGAUAAGUAGUGUGAAUUGCAGAAUUCAGUGAAUCAUCGAAUCUUUGAACGCACAUUGCGCCCUUUGGUAUUCCAAAGGGCAUGCCUGUUCGAGCGUCAUUUGUACCCUCAAGCUUUGCUUGGUGUUGGGCGUCUUGUCUCUAGCUUUGCUGGAGACUCGCCUUAAAGUAAUUGGCAGCCGGCCUACUGGUUUCGGAGCGCAGCACAAGUCGCACUCUCUAUCAGCAAAGGUCUAGCAUCCAUUAAGCCUUUUUUUUCAACUUUUGACCUCGGAUCAGGUAGGGAUACCCGCUGAACUUAAGCAUAUCAAUAGGAAGUAAAAGUCG